ensembl:lncRNA
CUAUAGGAGUCUACACCCAGUCCCAGCCAACAUGGACAGUGAGCAAGAAUGGUGGGAAGGGUAAUCCAACAGAGGCUGACAGAUUUAAGGUUCUCUGUUCCUGCUGUUGUGUAUCCAGAUGCUUCUCAUAGCCUCCCUGCUCACUACAAAGGACAGAAUGACCAGGGGAAGGUAUAUAAAUCACUGGACUGUAAGACCUGUAAUUAUGCCUCAAUGCAAUGUAAGUUUGAUAUGUUUUAAUAUAUUGUAAUAUAUUUUAAUCAUUUGAAGGACUAUUUUAAUUGAUAUGUAUGUGUUUUUCAGUUUUAUAAUAUUGUGUUUUAUUAAUAUUGUUAUUAUCUGAAUCUGGCAUUGAAUGAUUGCCAUAGUUUGUAAGCCACCCUGAGUCCCCCUUCAGGGGGACAGGGUAUAAGUACAGUAAAUAAAUAAAUAAAUAUGGCCCAGCAUAGUAUAGGUUCACAUAUGGAUACUGAUACUAUGUUAAAGCAAUGUUGGGUUGAAGCCUAUCACAUUAGCCAAAGUGUCCCACUUUGCCUGGCUUUGCCAGCAAACUCAGGGGCAGCGAGGUGAAUCUGUCUCCCUGUGUCUCUCUCCUUGCAGCAAUGCUUCCCCAUCAUGUGGGGGGAAGCAUCACCAAAGCCACGUGGAUCCGUGCCAGCUCUAUUGGAGCCAGCACAAGAUGAAAAGCCUCCCAUGUUGAGAGGGAAGCAUCAUACCAUACUUCCAUGGUUUGUGGACAGGCCUCUGCUGGAAAUCCAGUGAUGUCAUGGGAUAGGAAGCAUGCCCAUCCAUCGCUGGACUGGUGGGGAAGUGUCCUAGGACACUUAAAAAUCCCUGUGUGAUGAGGUCAUACGUCUGAGGGUAUAAAGACUGGAUGAAUAAGUGAUGCUGAGCGAUGUAAUGCAAUGAAAUGAAUUUCCGAAGCUCUGUGUAUAUGAUGUAUGUAUGAUUUUGAUCCAGUUUUCUGCUGUCAUUCAGUCUGUGAAAAUUUGAUGAGAUGAGAGAAUGUAGCUCGUGGGUGAGAAAGUUCUGUCCUUUGAUAUAGGACUGCAUCCCACUGGAUUCUAUGCAAAUGACUGUUGUAUGGAUGCACACAGAACUGUAAGACUGCAUCCUAAAUAUUCAAAAUCCACUUCAGUGGAAACUUGUGUAAAUUAGACUGCACAGCUAUUACAAAAGGAUAAAGAAAAUUAAAACAGCGGUAUUGUAACAUGUGUGUGUGUGUGUGUGUGUGUGUGUGUGUGUGUGUGUAUGUAUGUGUGUGUGUGUAUAUAUAUAUAUAUAUCGGCAGUCCCCAAGUUAUGAACAAGAUAGGUUGCGUAUGUUUGUUCUUAAGUUGAAUUUGUAAGUUGGGAAAGACACCUUUUUAAAGUGUAACUUCAGAUACACACACACACACACACUUUGGAUAGCAUAGGGAAGGGGGGAACACCCCUGUCAUGUUUGCUGCUUGUGUCUCUGUUCAGAAGAUUUCACCUCACUUCCUGUUCUUGUGAUAAUUAGAUUUUCAAAAAAUGUGGCUUGUUGUGCAAACAAGGAUUAAUGAUAAAGCUUCAGUGGAGACAUCUUUUUCCCAUGAUAAUUCUUUCAGGAUUGAAUUUUCCUUCCAAGGAGUGGUUUUCUCUCGCUUCCUGUUGUUUCACUUAACUAUGUGUCAUUUGUAACAAUAUUAUUAUUAUUAUUAUUAUUAUUAUUAUUAUUAUUAUUAUUAUUAUUAUUUUAUUUCUUACCCACCUCUU